ACCUGCGCCCACUGUCUGGCACUCCCAAGUGAGAUGAACCCGGUACCUCAGAUGGAAAUGCAGAAAUCACCCGUCUUCUGCAUCGCUCACGCUGGGAGCUGUAGACAGGAGCUGUUCCUAUUCGGCCAUCUUGGCUCCUCUCGAUAAUUGCUUUCAUGUGAACCCUUCAUAAGGUAAAAUCAAAUCCCUAUUAGGAUAAAUGAUUGAGUGUUCCUGUAAAGAAUUGUUCCCCUGGUUCAAGCAACCAGAUUUCAUUCCCAGAUGAUCAAAAAUGGACUUGAUGAAAUGGAAAAGCACUGAUAGAAACAGCCGUCGAUAUAUAGCUAAGGAUGAUAACAAGCACAACAAGGACUUACAGCAUUUGCUUUGCACCAGACACCAUCUAAAACACUUCACAAAUAUUAACUCAAAGGAACCUAUCAUAAUGCUGUCAUUAUUCCCAGUUCACAGAUGGGGAGGUAAAAACCCAGAGCUUAAUAGCAUGUCCAAGAUCACAUAACUAUUCCACUGCUCAAAAUUACUCCUGAAGGGAUGAGGACACCAGGAUAUGCCACCGGACCACUGAAGAGAUUGCUGUUUUCUGCCCCAGGCCUGUGCCAUGAGGGACACUUUCUCAGGACUCUUGCCAAUCUUUUCUGAGAGUACCUGGUGAGCUCUGUUGUGAAUUGCCUUUAUAGGUGCCCGCGAUGGCCGACAAUGAUGCAAAAUAGUACUUUGAGCAAAAUUUGCUCCUGAUUCUGUAGAAAUCUCAGAUGGACAAAUAAUCAACUUCUCAUAUAUUUAUCUGAACAUUUUACCCUGUCACCUAGAAUUUCUGUGAAUUCUAGAAUAUUUAAAUAAAAGUGGUUUCUUGUCAAUGAAAGAAGUUUGCAUUUAAAGCUCAAAAUAUUGCUGUCUAGAUGUGUCCUCUACUUCUCCCUGAUAAUAACAGUUUCCUCAGUGCAGAACAACAAUGACUGGAGAACCAACCUCAUGACUUGCUGUUUUGUUUUGAAGAUUAACCAGACUAUUACACGUAAGGCAUUUAGCCUAACACAGCAUCUGAAUAAAUGUUUCUUCAAGUGAACUAAAGAGGAAGGGAACUAAUAUUUGCUGAGCAGAGCUUGACCCACUUAAAACUCACAGCAACCCUGCAAGGUGUUAUAUUUUGCUUUUAUAGAUUUCUUUCGAGACCCUUCCCAUCACCUAAAGAAUUUCUUUAAUAAUAAAUUAUAAACUUCAAAGUCCUCACUCAGAAGAUCACCAGAAACCAAAGUAUGAGAAAAAUUAACCACGUAUGAUCUCAUCAGACCAAAUCUGGAGAAGCAUAUGAGAAAACCAGUGGCUGGAACCUAAAGAAAAGGAAGGUAUCCUGAUACAUAAAUACCUUUUGCCCUAUAUGUGGUAGUGAAGAAACAGAACUGUCUUAAGAAAUGGUUUAAAUUUCUUAAGCCUCUGCAGGGCCCACCUGAAUGGAGGGAAAUAGAACCCUGCAAAGCAAAGAAAGCAAGAUGUUUCUGCUGACAAUGAAAGAGAACAAGUUUCCCAACAACUUAAAAGGGGAUGAAAAGCAAAAUUUUGGAAAAAAACAACAUGGCAAAGGGCAUAUUACCCCGCAAUGGAUACCUAAGGACACAGUGUUCAGAAUUACUAAUAGUGCUAUCUCUAGGAACAAUUCAGGAAGCCAAAUUCAGGAAGUAUGAGAAUCUGAUAGGCAAAAAUUGUGAGAAGCCAAUUCAGGAAGUGUGAGAAUCUGAUAUGCAAAAACUGAGGCACCCUAUGGAACAUUUCUUAGAGACUAGGAUUCUUGGGGCAAAGGUAUUCCAGAGCAUAAGGCUGUGGAAGCAGCCAACUAAAGCACAGAGAAAAGAAGUGUAAGACCCUGCAGAGGAUGAAGAACACAGAGGAAAUAUCAGUGUAUGUGGAGAAGCCAGACCUUUCUUUGACAAUGCCCAGAGACCUGGUACCUGGUAUACCAUGGUCACAGGAAUUGGUACUUGUGGUCACUAAACAGAAACUCUACUUGAGUCAACAUUGAUUUUUUUGGAACACUAAAGGAAAAUAAAAAUUGAGCGGCUUUAAAUAUGUAAAUUAGUACUCAGAGGAAAUAGAGUGCCUUGGGACUUGAAUGUGGAGGAUAUCACCAUUUUGUAGGAAGAGAGGUUGUCUCAAAGUCCUCUUUUUGAUCAAAGAUGCCAAAAGCACAAGGAAGCUUGUCUUCAUGCAUAUGAAAUGAAUAGGGUCACACUUAACUUAUUGGUGGGCACUUCUCCCAAAUGAAGUUGAAUUUUCAGGUCAUCAACUCCCAGAAGACUAAAACCAACUGACUUAUUGAUCCCAAUACGGCUGAAAGAUUUUUUUUCUAUUACUUUUUUCUUUUUGCUCUUGAUUUUGUUUGGAAAAUGCUCUUGCUGCAAGAAUCACAUUGGCUUUAAAUUGUGUAGCUAUGGGUUUGCUGCUAUAUGUGUUCCAUUACUACUUUGGAACUUUGAAAAAUCAAAAGUGGACAAUGACAGAGUAGAAUUAGUUCACCUCUAGAGAUGCUGAAGGAGUGGCAUCUAUUAUUCUACUGCCACCUAUCUAAUACAUACUGUAAAUGCCAGAGGAACCAGGCAUCUGAAUGGGACUCCUCUUCAUUCAUUCACACAUUCAGCAAGCAUUUAUUGAACACAUUCAAGGUGCCAGGAAUUCUUCUAAAUUCUGGAGAAUAAUGAUGAGCAGAAACACAGUGCUUGGGGAGACUGACAAUAGCUGAAUAAUCACCCAAUGAAUGUAUGCUUUUCAAUAGAAACAGGAGUUCUAAAGGGAAGAAACAUUUGUAAUGUGAGAGCUUUUACCAAAAGAACCUGCAUCGGGGAAGGCUCUCCUGUGAAAAUGCUAUGAACUGCAAUCUACAGGAAGAGUAGAAUUUUAGUAGGGUUAAAGAGAGGAAGAGCUUUUGAGACAAAAACUGCCACAGAAAGGGCCUGAUAUGCUAAGAAUAUGAAUUAAACCAGUGCAGGUGGAAUGCAAAACAUAAGGUUGAGAUGGUAAGAGAUGAAGCUGGAGAGAGAGGCAUGGAUAAAGUCAUGUAGGACCUCAGAGGCCAUAUUAUAGACUUUAGUUUUUAUCUUAAGAGCAUUACAAAGCCACUGGAAAAUUUUAAACAAUGAGGUGAUGGGAACAGAUUUGCUUCUGAAAAGUUUGCUCCAAAAACACAACAGGCUGAAGGUGCAAGAAGUUAAGAAGCUGAAGCAUAAAUUUAAAGUAACUAUUGGAAUAGUACAGAUGAGAGAUGAAAGAAUCUUGAAUUAGGGCAUUAAAUGAAGAUAAAUUGAUGAAUUUUAGACAUUUUAUUAUAAAGAAGUAAUAGUGGACAGGACUUGAUUAUACACUAGAUAUUAGACUAUGGAAAGUAUCCAAGAUUGCUACUUGGUUUCUGACUUAAGUAAUUAAAUGGAUGAGCGCCGGUGUAAUUCACUGAGACAGGGAACACUGUAGGAAGCUUGGAGGGAGGAUCAUAAAUUCAAUCUGAGUUUGAGGAACUUUUGAGAUGUCUAAGUAGAUAUGCCAAGCAAUCACAAUAUAUGAGCCAGCAGCUCAGAUGAGAGGUUUCUGCUUGAGAAAUAAAUUUGCAACAUUUGGUUGUAUUAUUCAUAAGUCAGAAAUCAAGCCAUGGCUAUGAAUGAUACUGAAUAAGGAAAAAUUAUAUAGUGAAAGAAGGGAGCAUAGAACAGAGGCUCAUGGAACUUGAACAUUUAAUGUCUAGAUGGGUAAGGAUGAAUGUUCUUUCAAGGUGGCUGAGAAGGAGGGGCCAGAGAGGGAAGAGAAAAACCAAAGGAAUAUGGGCCCCUAACCUCUUAAUGCUUGGUUUUGAUGGUAUGAAGGUGUUUCAAGUAAAGAGGAUGUUUCUGAUAAAAAGUUGACUCCAAUUUCAAAUGUUUCUGAUGGAUUGUGUGAGAUGAGGAUUGAAAACUGCCCUUUGGAUUUAGUGAUAUGGAAGUCGAUGGUGAUUAGAUAGAGAGGUUUUAAUUUAAGAAGCCAGAAAGGAGUCAGUUGAGAGGUGAGAGGUGACAUAAUUAGACAAUGAAUUUAGACUACUUUUUCAAGAAAUUUUAAUACCAAGGGAAAGGGACAGAUAAUUUGGGAGCUGGAGAGGGUUGUGUGUGUGUAUGCAUGCAUGUGUGCUAAUAGGAAGCUUCUCAUAAUUUCACCUGUCCCCAUGAAAAGAAACUGUUGACUAUACAUAAGAGAGCUAUCUAAGGUUAACUAAGAAUUCUUUCUCUGAUCCAUUUCAGAGGCUUUGAGACAACAGCUGAAUUGCUCAUCUCAUUGUCUUAGAACAUAGAAAGAGCAGAGCUUGUAGAAGUGAACAGUCUCAUGUAUAUGGGCCAGGAGUUACCUCAUAAACUGCUAACCUUCUUUUUAACAGGACAUAGUUUAUUUUGAGCUUGACUAGGGGAAAAAGGGAUUUAGGCAGUGUAUCAAACUGUUCUUGCAUUGCUAUAAAGAAAUACCUGAAAGUGGG
rnacentral:lncRNA from 10 species